CUUCCUUACUGGACAGGUCUGACUCCAGGCAGCACGUGUGGGAUCGCCUUGGCCGCAACGGUCCCGGGUGGAAAGGCAUCGCCGUUGUCCCCUUACCCUCACCACCAAACAUAUUGAGGAAGAGGGACUUGCAAACGUGAGAAGGUGCAAAAAUCAUCCACCUAACUUCUGAGGCAGACCAGACUAUGAACUGAAGACAGUGCUGUCUUGCAGUGUGUGCCCCAAAAGGGACCAGCUGAACAUGCAGGCCCGGAGGGGCUAAUGAGAGAAUGAAAAGGGCCCCGGGAAGCAGGAGACGUAAAUCGCACACCUUCUCCCCAUGUAACAAUAAUGCCCAAACCGCCACAAAGCAAGGGUCUGGACGAUAGGGUCUCACUUUUCCAACCAUAGCUCAGUUACACAAGGGAGAAAGGGCAGAGG
rnacentral:lncRNA from 1 species